UGUUGGGCGCGGGCUGAGGCCGUGCCAGGAGCACGGCGGAGGGGCUCUGAUCUUGCGCGAAUUCCCUCUGGGCAGGCAGCGAAAGCGCUGCGGGUGAAACCUGACCUUCUUCUUCCCCCCCUCUCCCUCCUCCCCUUUUCUCCUCGCCGCCUUUGCAAAAGGAUGUGAAAAUGCCCAGAAAUGCGCAUUUUCACUCGUCCAUGGCGGAGCCCUCCAUCUCCCCCUCACGCUUCAGCUCCCCCCUCCAGUUCCCCCCCGCCUCAGGCGCCAUCGCUGCUUUCCCCCCUCCCCUCCCGCUCUGGCGUUACCCCUAAAAUAUUGUAUCUUUUGCCUCAUUUUUGGCCCAGAAUUCCGCUUUUCACACGCGCCCCCUCCCCACCCCCGUCCCCCAUCAUCAUCACCACAAGCACCCCAAGGUGGGUAGUUUAAUGCCUAAUUCUGUUCUCUUGCACCGCUUUUCUCCUUCGCAGGGGUCGGAGCUGCCAUCUCCCGCUUUCCUCACGGCAUGGAAAAUACCCAAACGUGCUUGGGGGAAAAAAAACAAACCAAGGAGAAAUCCCCUAACACCCGAGGACUGAUUUAUCUUCGGAGCCGGAGUGGUGUGGGAAGAAGCCAUCGCCGCUUGCCUGCUCCCCACGACAGCUCGCCCGCCAUUCGCUUAAUUAAAAUCAUAUAUUGGUGUGAUCAGACGUGGUAAUACCAUAAAAACCCAAAAUCCCGUAACAUCCACACGCUCGUUGUUGGAGGCUGCAGCCAAGUCCCCAAGUGACCUCCUGCAGCACUGCCUCCGCUGCAGUUCGACCACAGCUUUGCAUUGAAGCACUGAUGUGUCUCCCUGGGAGCCAGAGUGACCUUGCUGGGGGGACUGGGCCCACCAGGCAAUGCAGAUGCUCCUCUUCAUCCUAGAUCCCUGCACCCCUUUUUCUCCAUGCAUCCCUUCCCUCACCCGGGGGAUGUUACUGUGUUACAGUUGGUAAAGCUGUUUCAUGCCUUAUUUUUUCUCUCUUUUUUUUUUUUUUUUUAUUUUCUAGGGAAAUAAUGGGUUGUUUGUGUAACCCCUCUCCCCAUCAGAUCCCUACUAACCAUGCAGGGAUCUGCAAGUCUCCUGGGCGGUGGGAUCCAGCCUUUCCAUGAGUGUGGGGCUCCAUCCGUGUCCGUAUGUGUCGUACACAGGCCACAAAACCCCACAGUAUUCCUGUGGUUAGUUCUGUCUGGAGACCAUGAGUGGGUCCCAGGGCUUCCCCUUCCCACCACUUGCUGGUUCACAAAGGCUGAUGCUUCUGGAAAAAGCUCUGCCUUGUGGCCUUUAAAAAAAAAAAAAAUAAAUGAAGUGGCACUGCUGGGGAUUAGUCAUCCUUAUUUUUGAAGGAAGCUGUUUGCCAGCGCUGUCCGUAUCACGCAUGUGCGUGUGAGAUGGGAACUCCAGAAGGCUGGUAACGUGCUCUGCUCGCUGCUCCUUGGAGCUGAGCCACCCAGGCUCCAUUGAGCUGCUCCUGGCAGGUGGAAAAACCGACAGUCCAGCUUUCCAGACCCUUUCCCUCCAUUUUUUCAGGGCUGGAAUCUCUGCGUUGGCAGGUGUGGAAACAUGAAGGCUGUAACUGCAGUGAGCGAGGAUGGAUGAGCUGUUUUCUGGGGUCCCAUCCAACUCCAGAGAAGAAACUCUGGUGAUUUAUAAUUCUUUUCUUGCCUGUGGUAGAUUUUACUCUGAGCUCCGCUGCAUCUUGUGAGAAGACUGAGUUUGACCCUUUUGGCUGCUAAAAAUGGUUCUGUGUUUAAACAUCGGUGCUUUUUCCCUUCCCUGUGGUCACGUAGAAGAGCGAACCGCACAAUUAACCAGCACAGCAAAGGGCAGCUCCCUCCCCCUUUCCCCUUUCAAAAAAUCCAGAGUUGUGUGUCUUGAACUGCUGCAUAGGCAGAAAACAUACAAAGCCCUUGUCAGCAUUGUGCUGAUGUGUGGCACAUUAAAAAAAAUACACACAAAAGGGGUGGGGAGAGCGGGUGCCUCCAGGGAGCAAAACUGUGGGGCCCCUUUCCCUCCAAGCCAGCAGACCUACGUGCCAUAGCCUAUUCCUCCUAAUUUUGCUCAAGCGAAGGCAGUGGAGGUCGGAGGGAGUGUUGAAUGUCCUAAAUUGUGUUGGCGAAGAUCAGGGUCCCCUUGAACUAUAUUUUUUUUUCUCUCUGAACUCACUCCCACAAUAUGCUGCUGGUUUAUUACUCCAUUCCUUGCUCCCUGGGAAGAAGGAAAACGCUUCUUUACUGGGUGUAAUUCCUUUUGUUGUGUCGCAAAGGUAAUAAAAGGCACCUGGUGCUGGUCUCUCCCAGGUCACACAUGACUUCAA